rnacentral:rRNA from 1 species
CCUACGGGGGGCAGCAGUAGGGAAUAUUGCUCAAUGGGGGAAACCCUGAAGCAGCAACGCUGCGUGGAGGAUGAAGGUUCUCGGAUUGUAAACUCCCUUUGUUAGAGAAGUUAAUGACGGUAUCUAACGAAUAAGCACUGGCGAACGCCGUGCCAGCAGCCGCGGUAAUACGGAGGGUGCAAGCGUUACUCGGAACCUCUGGGCGUAAGGGGCGCGUAGGCGGGAUAGCAAGUCAGAUGUGAAAUCCUAUGGCUUAACCAUGGAACUGCAUUUGAAACUGUUAUUCUAGAGUAUGGGAGAGGUAGGUGGAAUUCGUGGUGUAGGGGUAAAAUCCGUAGAGAUCAAGAGGAAUACUGAUUGCGAAGGCGACCUGCUAGAACAUAACUGACGCUGAGGCGCGAAAGCGUGGGGAGCAAACAGGAUUAGAUACCCGGGUAGUC